rnacentral:rRNA from 1 species
GAGUUUGAUCAUGGCUCAGAUUGAACGCUGGCGGCAUGCCUUACACAUGCAAGUCGAACGGCAGCACGGGAGCUUGCUCCUGGUGGCGAGUGGCGAACGGGUGAGUAAUGCAUCGGAACGUAUCCUGGAGUGGGGGAUAACGUAGCGAAAGUUACGCUAAUACCGCAUAUUCUGUGAGCAGGAAAGCGGGGGACCUUCGGGCCUCGCGCUCUUGGAGCGGCCGAUGUCGGAUUAGCUAGUUGGUGAGGUAAAGGCUCACCAAGGCGACGAUCCGUAACUGGUCUGAGAGGAUGAUCAGUCACACUGGAACUGAGACACGGUCCAGACUCCUACGGGAGGCAGGCAGUGGGGAAUAUUGGACAAUGGGCGAAAGCCUGAUCCAGCCAUGCCGCGUGUGUGAAGAAGGUCUUCGGGAUUGUAAAGCACUUUAAGUUGGGAGGAAGGGCAGUAAGUUAAUAACCUUGCUGUUUUGACGUUACCGACAGAAUAAGCACCGGCU